rnacentral:ncRNA from 1 species
AAAAAGUUUUAUUCUAGCUUAAUAGUUGAUUAAAAGAAUGAAUUUCAUGUAAUUAUUUAUCUAGAUGAAUAUUUAUGCAGAAGUUAAUAUUGUACAAUUAAAUUGGUUUAGAUAUAGUAAUUCAUAAAAUAUUGGUGAAGGACGUGCCAGCUGCCGCGGUUAUACGUGAAAUGUAAAUUAAUUUGUUUAGUUAUAAAGUUAUAAGUGAAGAAGUAAUUGAGGUUUUGGUAAAGAUUAAUAUUGAGAUAGAAUGUUUUAUUAAUUUGUUAAAGAGAUUUAUUUUUGAAGCUUUGUAAUUUUGUGAUAAACUAGGAUUAGAUACCCUAUUAUAGUAAUUGUAAAUUAAAAUGCUAAAGUAGUAAGAGUUAUGGUCUUGAAACUUAAAGAAUUUGGCGGUGUUUUAACUAUUCAGAGGAAUCUGUUUUGUAAUUGAUAAUACACGAGUGUAGAAUACUUAAUUUUUAUUUGUAUAUCGCCGUCAUUAGGUUGUUUUGAUUAGAAAAUUUUUAAGUUCCGAUAUUAUUUUAAAAAUAAAGAUGUCAGGUCAAGGUGCAGUUUAUAAUUGAGAAGUUAAUGGUUUACAAUAAAUAGAUAUUUAUAUGGAAUAUUAUAUGGAUUAUAUAGUAUGAAAGUGGAUUUGAUAGUAAAUUAAUAUAAAUUUGUUAGUUGAAAUAGCUCUAAAACAUGUACAUAUCGCCCGUCGCUCUCAAUUGUUUUGAGAUAAGUCGUAACAAAGUAGAUGUAUUGGAAAAUGUAUCUAGAAUGA